rnacentral:tRNA from 1 species
UCUCUGGUGGCUCAGCGGGUAAGGGUCCAGCAUUGUCACUACUGUGGCUUGGGUCACUGCUGUGGCACAGGUUCAAUCCCUGGCCUGGGAA